rnacentral:rRNA from 1 species
AGCAGUCGCCGCGGGAAUACAGAGGAUGCAAGCGUUAUCCGGAAUUAUUGGGCGUAAAGGGCUCGCAGGCGGUUUCUUAAGUCUGAUGUGAAAGCCCCCGGCUCAACCGGGGAGGGUCAUUGGAAACUGGGAAACUUGAGUGCAGAAGAGGAGAGUGGAAUUCCACGUGUAGCGGUGAAAUGCGUAGAGAUGUGGAGGAACACCAGUGGCGAAGGCGACUCUCUGGUCUGUAACUGACGCUGAGGAGCGAAAGCGUGGGGAGCGAACAGGAUUAGAUACCCCAGUAGUCCCUGUCUCUUAUAA